rnacentral:rRNA from 1 species
AUUGAACGCUGGCGGCAGGCCUAACACAUGCCAGUCGAGCGAGCGGCGGACGGGUGAGUAAUGUAUGGGGACUGCCCGAUAGAGGGGGAUAACUACUGGAAACGGUGGCUAAUACCGCAUACUAUCGGAUAACCCAUAUGGGAUUAGCUAGUAGGUGGGGUAAAGGCUCACGUAGGCGACGAUGUCUAGCUGGUCUGAGAGGAUGAUCGUCCACACUGGGACCGAUACACGGCUCAGACUCCUACGGAGGCAGCAGUGGGGAAAAUUGCACAAUGGAAGCACGCCUGAUGCAGCCAUGCCGCGUGUAUGAAGAAGGCCUUAGGGUUGUAAAGUACUUUCAGCAGUGAGGCGUUACCCGCAGAAGACUCACCGGCUAACUCCGUGCCAGCAGCCGCGGUAAUUC